AGAGUUUUGGCCUCAGCCGUUUGACUCUAAUCAGGAAAUCAUUUUUAGAAAGAUUUGUCAGUGUAAGAAAACAAGCUCCUGAACUAAAUUAGGAUCUGGAUUAUUUUUCCCUCCUCUCUCGAUCUGCAGUGCAAGGCAGAGUGGUGAGCCAUCACGGUUUUGUGUGUGGUGAAUUUGUUUCCACUGCACAUUUUAAUUCGGAGCUCCUGAAGGUGUCUGUGUUUGUAAGGACUGUGUUUUUGGAGCUGCUCCCUCGGAGUAAUGAAUUCACGGCAUGUCUCUGGGAAAUUAAGGUUUCUUUUCUGGGAGCUGCUAUCACUGAAUACAUAAAGAAAUUGAGCCUAUAUGAUUUCAAUCUUCACCUUCUGAUGCUGAUGAAACAGGAUUCUAUGCAGUUUUCCACAGGGAGAAGCAGCAGGCUGAAGUGGCUCUUUAGGGAGACACAUACCUCCACAGGAAGAGCAGUCUAGAUUGUUUUAGCACAUUCCACUUAAGGAUUGCAGUGUGACAGCAGAGAAAAUCCUCUCCAGUCAAGUAAUUGCAUCCAUUUCAUCUUCCCAGCCCUCCUCUAGAUGGGAGGUGGAGGUGUGUGUACCAAUCUCUUAAUUCAGAAAUGAGACAAGAGGAGGAAAAAGGAGUUCCGGAGGACAGUGGGGACCCCAGCCAGAGCCUGGGGACUUGGCUGCCUUGGAACCAGAACCUGGCCCCUCAGAGGAGUUGCAGAAUUUCGAUAGAGGAGUGGCAGGAGGUGUACUGGCUGAAGAGGAGGCCCAAG
rnacentral:lncRNA from 1 species